UCUCAUACAAUGCUUUUCCAUACCAUAAAAGUCAAUGGGGUCCAAUUUUAUUUCAAAAUAUCUUAUCUUGUUUUCCACAGAAAAAAAAGAAAGCCUUGUUUUGGAACAACAUGAGGGUGAGUAAAUGCUGCAAAAUGUUAAUUUUUUGGUGAACUAUUUCUUUAUGUACCAACUUUGUCUCCAAUAUUUCUAAAUAAUAUAACCAUAAAGACACCAAAGAAACUAGGAGACGCAUGUGAUAUUAUAGGUGCAUAAUUUUACAGGAGAAAAAUCCGAAAAGCAGGAGACCUCAGCAAAAAUCUCAUUGCUGCUAAAGAGAUCACAUUUGUCACACUUGUUUCUAUGUCUGACUGAGCAGACGUAGUUUUCCAUCAGGGGUCACCUGGGAGAGAGCGAGUGCAUCUGCCUAGAUUUCUCUCGCUGUAAUCAGAGAACCUAUUUUUAAGACAUGUAUGUAUUCUCACUAGGCAGAAUGUGGAAGAGUAUGACAGUAUGGACGGACUGAGUGAUUCAGGGAGAAAGAUAAAUGUAUGUAGCAGUUUAAAGUUUGCUUGAAUAUGUGUCUGUGUUUACAUCUCAUCCUUCCUUUUGUUUAAAAAAAGUCAAAGUGGAGGUUACAAUGAGGCCUUUACAAUUGAAGUGAAUAGGGCUAAUUUUUGGAGGACUUAAAAGCAGGUAUGUGACGUUUAUACUAUUAUAAAUGUACGUACAUUAAUUCUUCUGUUAAAACUGUCAGUUAUUUGAUCUGCACGGCUGUUUAAGUUAUUUUUACAGCUGUUUUAGGGUUUCACAGCAUUACAUUGUCAUGGCAAGGUUAGUAAGCAGAUAAAAUGUGUAUAUUGUUUACAUCCUGUUGUGGCACAACAACAAAAAAUACAAUGGGUCCCAUUCACUUCCAUUGAAGUUCCUCACUAUAACACAGAUUUUUCCUCUUUUUUUUAAGAAAAGGAUGGGAUACAUGGAAUUUGUUUGUUUGUUUAUUUAUUUAUUUAUUUAUUUAUUGUGGUAGUCAAACUUAUGCCACAAAUGCUGUAAAUUGAGUUUAACUUGUACUGAAUUCUGAAUAUUCCUUUAAAUCAAGGCACAAUAGACAAUUAUUUGUUUUCUGUUUUCCUGUGAGGAAGUAAAAGGAUAAUGGGGGUUCUGUAAGGUCACACAGGAAGACAAAUGCUUCAGAGGAAGUACAGAUUCAACUGGGGUCUUGAAUCAACACAUCCAACCCUGAUGUUCUCCAGAAGUUCCUUAUAAUGUGGAUUCAGAUUAUAAAAGGAGAGGACGAUGCAUGCUACAAGGUGACUUUCUGUAGCCUACUGCUGGAAAAAUCCCAGAGGCAUAAGGAGUUUACGAGCCUGUAUGAGCGAAAGGCAAUGAAAACUUGAUGACAGCUUGGAAAUGAGACAUUAUCAGGCAGGAUUUUGGCUUUCACCUUUCCUGUACUACCGACGUGUCUUGUGACUGGACACAAAGAACAAUGGAGUAAGGAGGUGAGGGAGGAAAGAAAGGAGGAAAGAGGAGGGAUCGUGGCGUAUGUAAGGUCAGCAGAGUCAGGUUUCCUGGUUGAGCUUAAAUCUGCUCUGUAACCAUUAACACAAGUGACUCAGGCAUCCAGCUUGCUCCCACUAUUAACCACAGAGGUUACCAAAGAGGUCACAAAGGUCAAUUCACAGGGUCCAGCAGAUCUCAAUAAUGCUAUAUUUGUUUUUUCGUUGUUGUUUUUAGUGAAAUAUUAUCAUUGUCUUGUCAGAGGUCAUUGUCAAAACUUUGGAGUGGAAGCCACUUACGCUUCAGCAGUAUGUGUGUUUAUGCAAGUGUUCACACAUUGAAGUGGUUAGGGGUGUAGUAUUUUUAAUAGGUAACCUAGACCCUCAGAGUUGAAAGUGGAUAUAUGCUCCUGCAGAAAGAAUGGGAUGGUUGUAUUUACACUGACCUAUACCACAGUAGGAGCUUGGAAAGGUCCUGUUUUCUCUUCAGUCAUUUAGAUCUUCUUUUUGUCCUGCUGAACAACAGAGAGAAAAGAAGCAAGAUCAACCUGUGCUCAGCUGAUGAGGUUAAACCUUUAAAGGGAUAGUUUGUUUGCUUACCCUCAUGACAUGGGACACAUAAACAGAAGUUAUGUUUUUUCACUGUUACUGGUGCGGUUGCUAAAGAGCCACCAUAAAAAAUGUUGUGAAAAUAUUUUUUCCCAGUAUUUCGACAUAGCAUAUUGGUGCCUCUAUAUUUUACAACUUAUAACCAUGUAUUUCAUUAAGUGAUAUAAUCUUAAUAUUUCUAUCUACUUGGACUGCCAAAACCUUUUUUUUUUACCUUAAAAUUUACCGAUAACCACUAUAAUAAUACGAGAGGUAAAACAGAAAUUAAGCCACAUAAUAAAUUCAACGUAAGUGGCCAGUCCAUAAAACAUACUCGCAUAUAGUUGUGGGGCACAGGGAUAAAAACACAAAGACACCAUCAGGGUAAUGCACAUGUACAUUACUGAUAACAGAUAAUAAACAAAACGAUUUAAAAAUAUAUAUACAGUGGGUACGGAAAGUAUUCAGACCCCCUUAAAUUUUUCACUCUUUGUUAUAUUG